rnacentral:rRNA from 1 species
UACAUGGGGUGCAAACGUUGCUCGGAAUCAUUGGGCGUAAAGCGCGCGUAGGCGGUUACUUAAGUCGGAUGUGAAAGCCCUCGGCUUAACCGAGGAAGUGCAUCCGAAACUGAGUAGCUAGAGUACGAAAGAGGGUCGCGGAAUUCCCGGUGUAGAGGUGAAAUUCGUAGAUAUCGGGAGGAACACCGGUGGCGAAGGCGGCGACCUGGGUCGAGACUGACGCUGAGGCGCGAAGCGUGGGGAGCAAACAGG